CACGUAGGGCGCAAGCGUUGUCCGGAGUUAUUGGGCGUAAAGAGCUCGUAGGCGGUCUGUUGCGUCCGCUGUGAAAACUCGGGGCUUAACCCCGAGCCUGCAGUGGAUACGGGCAGACUAGAGGUAGGUAGGGGAGAAUGGAAUUCCCGGUGUAGCGGUGAAAUGCGCAGAUAUCGGGAGGAACACCAGUGGCGAAGGCGGUUCUCUGGGCAUUACCUGACGCUGAGGAGCGAAAGCGUGGGGAGCGAACAGG
rnacentral:rRNA from 1 species